AUGCGUUUUAAUCCGUGUUUAGGGUUCAAGUCAUCUUCCUCAAACACAAAUUCCUCCCUCCUCUCUUCUCACGACGGCACAAUGCAUUCUCUUCCAUUCUCGAUCAAACUCCUCCGCCGUACCAAACCUCCAUUCGCCGCGCUAUUACCAGCAAAUUAUCUUCGCCUCUCGGGAAACUCAAUGGCGCAUCUCCAUCUUCUCUUCCCCUUCAAAACCCAGCGCGACAGUGCUAUAUAUCCUAAUCCGUUCUCAAUUUGUCUGCCAUACCUCCGUCUCAUUAUCUUCUUCUUCAUUUUGCAUUCAUUCCUCCACCGUAGACACACAUUACCACACCGCACGCCGCUUCUAUAG